UAUCAUCUUCAUCCAUCUUCAAUCACAAAACCCUAACCCUAACCUUCACCUCCACCUCCACCCACCUGCAACCACCGCCCAAACCCACCUCUGCCACCGGCCACCAUUGAUCCUAUUCUCCCUUAUCAUUCCCCAAAUUCAUCCGCCACACCAUAGAUCCCACAACUCAGCUGGUUGCAUACACAAUCAAUCAUAAAUCCAUAUAAUAAACCUCGUGUCUGAUGGCCUUUGCUUCCAAGAAACACCAAUCGUAAAUCUGACCCUUAGGAGCUCGUAUUUAUUACUUGUUCCCUCAAUUAUAUAUAAGAUAUAUACAUAUUUUGUAUCGUCACAUAGCUGGAUUAUUAAUGGAUCCACCAAUAAUCAACGUUGUUCUCAGCUGCCAAUCCUUCUUUUUACUAUUAACCUGAGAUUUGGCCUUUUUCAUCCAUCCAUGGUGGUGCAAAUGAGGGUUUAGGGAUCAAAUUUAACAACUUUGUUAGUGGGUUUGGGGAAAAUGAGUGAUCUUCUGUAACAGAUCAUAGUGGUGGUCGUAGGAAACAAAGGGAUGCUAAUUCUGAAGAUGAAUCUUCAAAGAUUGUGUCUACUAGUAGCAACAAUGAUUUGGUAGGGGUUUUCGGUGAUGAGCGAUGGUGAUUGUGAUAGUCGGUGGUGCUCACGAAGGUGUGGCGGUGGUUUCGAUGACGACGGCGAAAGUUGCGUUGAACGGAACAACAACGACAGUGAUGUUCUUAGGAGUUCGAUGACAUUGACGAAGUGAUUCCGGUGGUUCAAACUUGUUUUCCAGCAACAAGAGUGACUUUCAAUAUGUACAUGGACCAUUGGUCACCGGGUUCUCGUCUAGGACGGUUACCCGUCAGCCCAGCUUUCGCAGACGCGAUGUUCUAUCGGGUCCCGGUUGCCGCUCUGACUGACCUUCGCCCGGAAACCAUACUGCCCCCACACGAGAGACUCGCUGGGGUAACAGCUGGAUGAAAACCGGGUUGCCCUCAGGACCGCACCAUGCCUCGGUAGGUAACGAUCCAUCAUUGGGACGUCCCACACCAUAAGCCACAAGUUGGAGUCGAACCGGCGACCUCCCAAAGGGAAGAAGCCGGCCUAACCAAUUGGGCUAUGGUGGGGGAUUUCCAAUAACUUAUAUGUUCAAUUAAACAUCAAACAUUUACAACAAUCAAUCCAAAAAUCAAAUUAAUGCUAAAAUCCAUCAAUUAACUCUCCGGGACGUUGAUACCCUAUUUACCCUACCUAGUCUAAGGUAUACGAUUAUACUCUCUAUAUCUUUGAUCGAGGCUUCGACAGGACGACACCGAUCACUCCCUUGGUGGCUGAUGAUGAUUAUGAAGUUGAUGUCGAUGGAUUGCCUUACCCAAUUGGCAUGAAGAAGGCUACAUACUGAUCAUCAAAAUUCAAAUUCGUAGACGAUGUUAAAAUUUAAGUAAACAACAUGUUAGACUAAAGAAAGGGACUAUAUUGUUUCAAUUCGAUGCCAAAUAGCAAAUUUAUGGAGUUUGCUACAUAUAAAGAUUGCAUUGAGUGAAUUGAAAGAUGUACACAAAGUAUGAUGAAUAGAGGUAAAUGUUUACUUUAUGUGUUUUUUUAUUUCUGUAAUAUUUUUAAUUUUAGUGUUUGGGAGUCAAA